rnacentral:rRNA from 1 species
AACGAACGCUGGCGGCAGGCUUAACACAUGCAAGUCGAGCGCCCCGCAAGGGGAGCGGCAGACGGGUGAGUAACGCGUGGGAACGUACCCUUUGCUACGGAAUAGCUCCGGGAAACUGGAAUUAAUACCGUAUGUGCCCUACGGGGGAAAGAUUUAUCGGCAAAGGAUCGGCCCGCGUUGGAUUAGCUAGUUGGUGGGGUAAUGGCCUACCAAGGCGACGAUCCAUAGCUGGUCUGAGAGGAUGAUCAGCCACAUUGGGACUGAGACACGGCCCAAACUCCUACGGGCGGCAGCAGUGGGGAAUAUUGGACAAUGGGCGCAAGCCUGAUCCAGCCAUGCCGCGUGAGUGAUGAAGGCCUUUGGGUUGUAAAGCUCUUUCACCGGAGAAGAUAAUGACGGUAUCCGGAGAAGAAGCCCCGGCUAACUUCGUGCCAGCCGCCGCAGUAAGAC